rnacentral:rRNA from 1 species
AAAUUGAAGAGUUUGAUCAUGGCUCAGAUUGAACGCUGGCGGCAGGCCUAACACAUGCAAGUCGAACGGUAACAGGAAGCAGCUUGCUGCUUUGCUGACGAGUGGCGGACGGGUGAGUAAUGUCUGGGAAACUGCCUGAUGGAGGGGGAUAACUACUGGAAACGGUAGCUAAUACCGCAUAACGUCGCAAGACCAAAGAGGGGGACCUUCGGGCCUCUUGCCAUCGGAUGUGCCCAGAUGGGAUUAGCUAGUAGGUGGGGUAACGGCUCACCUAGGCGACGAUCCCUAGCUGGUCUGAGAGGAUGACCAGCCACACUGGAACUGAGACACGGUCCAGACUCCUACGGGAGGCAGCAGUGGGGAAUAUUGCACAAUGGGCGCAAGCCUGAUGCAGCCAUGCCGCGUGUAUGAAGAAGGCCU